rnacentral:rRNA from 1 species
ACGGGAGGCAGCAGUGGGGAAUAUUGGACAAUGGGGGAAACCCUGAUCCAGCGACGCCGCGUGAGUGAAGAAGUAUUUCGGUAUGUAAAGCUCUAUCAGCAAGGAAGAAAAUGGCGGUACCUGACUAAGAAGCUCCGGCUAAAUACGUGCCAGCAGCCGCGGUAAUACGUAUGGAGCAAGCGUUAUCCGGAUUUACUGGGUGUAAAGGGUGCGUAGGUGGCAUGGUAAGUCAGAUGUGAAAUACCGGGGCUCAACCCCGGAGCUGCAUUUGAAACUGCAGGCUGGAGUACAGGAGAGGCAAGCGGAAUUCCUAGUGUAGCGGUGAAAUGCGUAGAUAUUAGGAGGAACACCAGUGGCGAAGGCGGCUUGCUGGACUGUUACUGACACUGAGGCACGAAAGCGUGGGGAGCAAACAGGAUUAGAUACCCUGGUA